ensembl:lncRNA
GAGCCCAGUAUACGUGUCUUUUGUCAGCAAGGCCACCUUGUGGGAACGAGGACUCUGCCGCCAAACCGCCCACAAACGUCCAAACCACGGUCCCUUAUUGUGUCCACGGUUCUUGUCUCACAUGACCGCCCGCCCCGAGGACCUCAGGCCUCCUUGUGUCCCGAGCUCCGGGUCCAGACCGCUGCCCCCCCCUCGGGAGAAGACGGCGGUAACGCACGCCCUCGCUGCACCGAAGACACAAACGCUGGACGGUUUCUUCCGUCUCCAUCCAGACGGGAGAAGGAAAAGUGCGCCGAUGGCGGGAAGGCGCUCUGCUGCUGUUGUUGUUCCCUGUCCUCCACCCUCCGCUGCCCCACCGCCACGCACCGCCAACCCAACACCGCCCCGCCAAAACUCCCCGCACGGCGACUUCGAGAGGCGGCGAAGAAGCCGGUCGGCAUCUCCCUGCGACGAGCCACCUGCCCCGGGGGGGGGCGUUGAAGUCCGUGAGACGGCUCCGCGACCCGCCGCCGCGUCCCCCCACCCGGGCUGCCGGCUGCCUGCGGAGCCGAAUGGAUCGGAAGCGCCACCGCCGCCGGCGGCCUCCUCCUCCUCCUCCAUCUCACACGGGUCGCUCUCAGAUUUCAGCCGCCCACCGUCCAGCCGGUUCAGCCGCAGCACCGACCUCGCCAGCGGCCGGAGCAGCGUCCUGUCCGGCGCAGAUCUCGGAGACUCGGAGCCAGGAGGCGGCGUUUGCUCCUCACCGCUCCAGCCUCGCCCGGUGACGGGGUCACCCUCGGCUCCUCGCCCUCCGCCGGCAUCCCACCCUCGCCAACCAUCCGCCGAUGCUUCGGCCACCCCUCUCCUCUACGAACCGCUAUUUGGGCAAACCCGACCCCUCUCGCCGCCGUCGACGUCAGGUGGGCUUCGUCAAUCAGAUAACCCUCCGAGCAGGAGCGAAAGCCCCGAUGCGACAAAGUAUCUCCAACCAGUUCCAUCAGAAGCUCCUGGUCCCCACCCAUCCAUGGCCUCCGACCGCGGCCUCGUCGGCCUGGCUUUCCCCUCCGCCACCUGGUCCUCCUGCCCGAGUCCGCAGAGGACCACUCCCCGCUCCUCGGGGUCAGGACCGGCUCCGACCCCUCCUGCGUCGGCGCCCCGUCUGGAGUCUCGUCGCUGGUCCCCGCUGCCUCCCAUCUCCCCUGUCGGAGGACGCUGUGGCACCGCAGCAUCCCGCUACUCCGAGCUCAGCUGCACUCAGUCCCGCGCGUUCGAUGAGCUGGAGGCCAUCGCCCCUCGCUCGCUGUCCUCCCCGUCUCUGGACCGGCUGUCGGACUCCUCCGGGUGCCCUUCACCUGACACAGAGCUGUCUCCGGGCCUGGCGGCGCUGACGGUGGGCUGUGACUCCGGGACCCUGGGCUCUCUGUCCCGGGUGCAGCUGCUCCUCCUGGACCGGCCGCAGCCCGACACCCGGCCGGGUCUGUUCGGCCCGGAAGAGGAGCUCUCGCCGGUGCAAGACUGGCCUCGUCUCGCGAUGCAACAUGAAGGUGGCGUGAGGCCCCGCACAGCUGGCGGCGUCUCUGAAAGGUGUGACUCCGCAGGGAAAGUCCACGAAAACAAAUCGGUUCCAGCGGAGGGGAAGGGGGCCCCGCCGAGGAGGAGGAGGAGGCCAAUUAUCCGGGAUGGGGGCAACAAGUCGAAUCCUCAGCCGCAGGACGGAGGCCCGCGAGCCUUGAUGGCAGAAGUGAGGAGAGGAAGCGGAGGAUGGAGGAGAGGAAAACAAAGGUGCUGAGCUUGCUCUCCAAGCUGCAGGACGACGGGCCGCGGCAGCCAAAGGGCCACCGGAGCUGCUCCAACUUCCAGGACU